UUAGAAUUCAACAGUAUUGUCAUGAUUUGUUUUAUGAAUAUCAACCAGAGCAUGGAAGUAGUACAAGUCAAACUUUGUUUGCUUCAUCUUCUUCUCAAUCUAGUUUUUGUGGUGAUGAAGAGUAUCUAGCAGAUUUUUAUAUGUUUAUUGAAUAAGAAUCAAGUAAUAUCUUGAGAAAGUCAGAACUAGAAUGUUAUUUAGAGGAGCAACUUUUACCUAGGAGUCCAGACUUUGAUAUAUUGACUUGGUGGAAGUUAAAUAGGCCUAAAUAUCCAACCUUGCAGAGGAUUGCUCGAGAUAUUCUUGCUAUUCCAGUCUCUACUGUUGCUUUUGAGUUUGCUUUUAGCACUACUGGAAAGGUAAUAAGUCCACAUCGCAAUAGACUUCAUUUAGGUACAUUGGAGGCGUUGAUGUGUUCUCAAAAUUGGUUAUGGGCUGACCUAAAAGGUGAAGAGUCUUAUUCGACAAUCUACAAUGAUAAUGAUUCAAAGAUAGUAAGUAUUUUUCAUUAAUCUCUAAAAUAUUGGUUUUUAAAAUAUUGCAAGAAUUUAUUACCUAUUUUUUUACAUGUGUUGUAGUUGAUAAUUGAUGACAUGGAUUUGAGUUUCACUGUCCAACCUUGAUGUUUGGCAUCUAAGUGGAUUUUGAUUUUCUGAUAUAAACUUUUAGUCCUUAUGAUCUGAUAUCAUAUGCAUUUCCAGGUUGGUGCACUGGCCCAUAGGAAGAUUGAGUCGGAUUAUACAGAUGACUUAAUAGCUAUUUCUAGCUAUCCAAUGAGUGUCGCCCACUGCAUUGCAAGAAUUUGUGAGGCUCUGGAAGACAAGUGGAAUAUAUUAUAAGUUAAUUUAACUUCCCCCAAAGGGAUUAGUUCAAUUUUUGAGUAAUUUAUUUUUGUAUCCAUUAUGUAAACAAAAUAUCUAACUUGAAGAUAUUUGUCAAAAAUGAAAUUUAUGAGACUUUUGUGAAUGUUGGUGUUUACAUGUUGGAAGGAUUCAGUUAAGUUUCA